UUUUGAUUGAUCUUAGCCACACAGCCAGAUGAGGUGACAUACUCUGACGUCACCUUCAUCAAAACAGGACAUAGCCACCAGAAGCAAACCGACAGUGAUGGAGACGGUGUAACUGCCAUCUACUCUCAGGUCAAUCGGCCUAAAAAGGUCCCAGGAAAUGAACUGGACCCACCACCUCCAUCUGAUUCCAGUAAAAUCUCGACCCCGGCCAAACCUGACCCUGCCAACUCCUCACCACAGCAACAUCCAGAGAAAGAGAGCCGUUCUGGUAUCUCCCAGAGAUGCACAGUACUCUUACUCUCUGUGUGUGUUCUCCUGUUGGCCAUUGCUGUUACUAUGGUAGCGCUCUAUGCUGUGAACAUGGAUACAUAUUCAGACAUUACACAGAAGUUGGGAAUGCUGCAGAAGGAGUAUGAUAAUGCCACUGCCAUGACAAGGACUUUGGAGGCUAACCUUACAGGUAAAAAGAAUACCCCCCAGUGCACUUAUUGGAAACAUUAAAGGUUGAGUAUAAUAACAUUAGCAAUGAGAAAAUGACUGUGGAGACUCAACUUUGUGCUAAAAGCGGUGACAGACAUCAUCACAUUUGAAAAUACAAAUAUGAAAAGGGAGGAAACUUUUCAGAGGAAAUUGCUAAAAUAAAUUAAAUUGGGGUCAGGGUCUGAAAGUGUGCACAAGUGACUGACAAUUGAAUUAUAUUUUACAUAUAUUUUUGUCAUAUUUACAUUUUUUUUACAUACA